GAUGGCAGAAAGUUACAGCAAACUCAAUCUGGCUCUUUCGGUGAUGCACGAGUGUUUUAAGCCCCUAAAGGAAUCUUUGACUAGCAGAGAUCUCGUGGAAGAUGUUAUAUUCAGCAAAUGGGUUUCUAUACUGUGCUACUUGAGAGAAAUGAAGAACUGAUCAGUGUUGCAACUGUUAGGGUCUAUGGGAAGAAGGUAGUAGAAGUACCUCUUGUUGGUACCAGAUUACAAUAUCGUCGACAUGGAAUGUGCCAUAUCUUAAUUAAUGAGCUUGAAAAGAGUCACAACCAAAAUGUGAUGUAUACCAAGUAGAAGAGAUUGACGAAGGAAGGAUAGUGGAUCAAAAAAUAGAGUGGUAGCCAUCAGUUUGUAACCAUUAAAAACUUUCCACGGAAAGAAAAUAACUUACAAGAAAAGAUAACACUUUAUAUGGAGGUGCAUAUUAUGGCUCUCACGUGAUGCAGUACGGUGAUGUAGGGUUCCACAAUGAUAUUCUUUUCC